CCCCAUCCUGAUCACUAGUAUGAGAAGGGGUGCUAAUGGACCAGCCUUGGCCUUGCAGAUGAAGAUGAUGAAGGAAGAAGAUGUAUAAAGAACCUCUGAAAGAGUCCCAGUUUUACAUUUCAAAGUCUUUUUCCUUCUGUUGUUUAUUGUGUUGGGUUGGAGUGGAGGAUAUUUGAUGGAGAAUUGAUUCUGAAACUUGCCAAAAUAUGGAUAAUACUUUGCUCCUUUUCCAUUGUGGGUUAUCACAAAGAAGAGUUUCACUUUUAGUCAUCUAUUUACAGUCUAGAAACAGGAACAAACCCAAACCAAGCAGAAAAACAGAAAUAACCAAGAUCAAAACGGAACUAAAUGAAAUUGAAAUGAAAAAGUACAAAGAUAAAUGAAACAAAAACCUGGUUUAUUGAAAAGUUAAAUAAAAUUGAUAAUUCAA
rnacentral:lncRNA from 10 species